rnacentral:tRNA from 1 species
AAGGAUUUAAGUUAAAAAAAACUAAUAACCUUCAAAGUUAUAAAUAAAGAAAGCUUUAAGCCUUG